rnacentral:misc_RNA from 1 species
AAGUCGUAACAAGGUCUCCGUUGGUGAACCAGCGGAGGGAUCAUUACAGAGUUGCAAAACUCCCAACCAUUGUGAACCUACCUCACCGUUGCUUCGGCGGGUCCGCCCGCCGGCAGCAUACCACAUUCUGUUUCUCUGCGUUGGCAUCUCGAGAAAAAAGCAAAUAAGUUAAAACUUUCAACAACGGAUCUCUUGGUUCUG